AGCAACAUGAGCACUAAUGGGCCUAAUACAUUAGAAGCUGUUGUAGACGAAAUAACUAGCAACAUGGGCACUAUCUUCUCUAAUACAUUAGAAGCUGUUGCCCCCAUCAAAUUGAAAAAGGUUAGAGAAAAACGUACUGCGCCAUGGUACAACAGUAAUACCCAUUCUCUCAAGAAAAAAACUCGUAGUCUUGAGCGCAAAUGGAGAAAAACUAACUUGGAAGUUUUUAGAAUUGCGUGGAAAAACAGUAUGUCCAGCUAUAGACAGGCUCUAAAAGCUGCCAGGGCCGAGCAUAUUCACAAACUCAUAGAAAAUAACCAAAACAAUCCUAGGUUUUUAUUUAGCACAGUGGCUAGAUUAACAAAUAACCAGACGCCACCCGAUCUAAAUAUUCCCGCACAGUUUAAUAGUAAUGACUUUAUGAAUUUCUUCACUGAUAAAAUAGAUAAUAUCAGAAAUACAAUAACAAAUGUAGAUUCUACAGCGUAUAAUACUUUAGCUUCAUUCAUCGCACCAAAAGAUAAACUGCAGUGCUUUACAGCUAUAGGACAGGAAGAGCUAAAUAAACUUAUCACUGCAUCUAAACCAACAACAUGCCUGUUAGAUCCUGUACCCACUAAAUUACUGAAAGAGUUGUUACCUGUAGCAGAAGAACCGCUUCUCAAUAUUAUUAACUCGUCGUUGUCUUUAGGUCACGUCCCAAAACCAUUCAAGCUGGCGGUUAUUAAGCCUCUUAUUAAGAAACCACAACUAGAUCCUAGUGAACUGGCAAAUUAUAGACCCAUCUCAAAUAUUCCUUUUAUGUCUAACAUUUUUGAAAAAGUCGUGUCUGCUCAAUUGUGCUCCUUCCUGCAAAAAAAUGAUCUCUAUGAAGAAUUUCAGUCAGGUUUCAGGCCCCACCAUAGCACAGAAACUGCACUUGAUAAAAUUACAAAUGACUUGCUUCUUGCGUCAGACCAAAGCUGCAUCUCAUUGCUAGUUAGACAUACUCAUAGAUCGAUUACAAAACUAUACAGGUAUUCAAGGGCAGGCU
rnacentral:lncRNA from 1 species